GAUGAAGAACGUAGCGAAAUGCGAUAAGUAAUGUGAAUUGCAGAAUUCAGUGAAUCAUCGAAUCUUUGAACGCACAUUGCGCCCGCCAGUAUUCUGGCGGGCAUGCCUGUUCGAGCGUCAUUUCAACCAUCAAGCCUUAGGCUUGUGUUGGAGCUCUGCGACUGUCCGCAGGCCCCUAAAUGCAGUGGCGGGCUCGCUAUCACACCGAGUGCAGUAGUUUUCUUUCUCGCUCAGGGCGUUUAGUGGGUGCUAGCCGUAAAACCCCCUUUUCUCACAAGGUUGACCUCGGAUCAGGUAGGAAUACCCGCUGAACUUAAGCAUAUCAAUAAGCGGAGGA
rnacentral:misc_RNA from 1 species